GUGGGGAAUAUUGGACAAUGGGCGAAAGCCUGAUCCAGCCAUGCCGCGUGUGUGAAGAAGGUCUUCGGAUUGUAAAGCACUUUAAGUUGGGAGGAAGGGCAGUAAGUUAAUACCUUGCUGUUUUGACGUUACCGACAGAAUAAGCACCGGCUAACUUCGUGCCAGCAGCCGCGGUAAUACGAAGGGUGCAAGCGUUAAUCGGAAUUACUGGGCGUAAAGCGCGCGUAGGUGGUUUUGUAAGUUGGAGGUGAAAUCCCCGGGCUCAACCUGGGAACUGGCUCCAAAACUGAAUGACUAGAGUACGGUAGAGGGUAGUGGAAUUUCCUGUGUAGCGGUGAAAUGCGUAGAUAUAGGAAGGAACACCAGUGGCGAAGGCGACUACCUGGACUGAUACUGACACUGAGGUGCGAAAGCGUGGGGAGCAAACAGGAUUAGAAACCCGGGUAGUCC
rnacentral:rRNA from 1 species